UAGUUACUCCCUUUGCUUCGAAUUACUCGUCGUAGAAAUGAAUAUAUCUAGAUGUAUUUUAGUUCUAGAUACAUCUAUUUCUACAACGAAUAAUUUGAAACAGAGGGAGUACUUC
rfam:Triticum urartu cultivar G1812 contig636239, whole genome shotgun sequence.